GAUAUUCGGCGUCAUAAACACGAUCAACUUUGGUGUGUAUGACCUCGAUAUUCGACGUGAUAAACACAAUCAACUUUGGUGUUUAUGACGUCGACGUGAUAAACACGAUCAACUUUGGUGUUUAUAACGUCGAUAUUCGACGUCAUAAACACAAUCAACUUAGGUGUUUAUGACGUCGAUAUUCGACGUCGUAAACACGAUCAACUUAGGUGUUUAUGACGUCGAUGUUC
rnacentral:miRNA from 1 species